AUUGAACGCUGGCGGCAGGCCUAACACAUGCAAGUCGAACGGCAGCACAGAAGAGCUUGCUCUUUGGGUGGCGAGUGGCGGACGGGUGAGUAACACGUAGGAAUCUACCCAGUAGUGGGGGAUAACCUGGGGAAACCCAGGCUAAUACCGCAUACGCCCUGAGGGGGAAAGCGGGGGAUCUUCGGACCUCGCGCUAUUGGAUGAGCCUGCGUCGGAUUAGCUAGUUGGUGGGGUAAGGGCUCACCAAGGCGACGAUCCGUAGCUGGUCUGAGAGGAUGACCAGUCACACCGGAACUGAGACACGGUCCGGACUCCUACGGGAGGCAGCAGUGGGGAAUUUUGGACAAUGGGGGCAACCCUGAUCCAGCCAUUCCGCGUGAGUGAAGAAGGCCUCGGUUGUAAGACGUCUUCUAGCAGGAACGAAACGGUAGGU
rnacentral:rRNA from 1 species